rnacentral:lncRNA from 1 species
ACAUUCUAAAACUUCAUACAGAGCUUGCAAUGUGAUGGGAACGGAUGUUUAAAAUCUUUGCGGAGGUUGAAAUUCAUCUUUUUAUAAAGAUGGCCUUCUAACAAGCAUAAUAAGUAACUACUACAUUUUCAUGUUUUGAAAACUGAUUUUUUUAAUAUUUAAUUUUUAGGCAAUUAUUGAAGGAAUUCAGCAAGUUUUUACUGAUUUACAUACUUUGGGUAAGUGAGAUGGAAACUCUCUUCUUCCUUUCUUUGUCAUUUCACUUAAUUAUGUUAUGUAAGUUGAUCAUCGAAAAGGUGCUACAUUUAUCAUUCUUUCAUUAAAUUUAUUCCUCUUAUUUUAUUAGAGCUUAGUUUUUCGUGUUUCAUAUCAUACGUAGCUAGCUACAAUCUUUGGAAGAAAAUUAUUAUAGAUAAUAAUGGUCAUAUCUAAGUAUGUUGAUUACCUAAUGUUUUAUUGAAUCCAUGUUAGUAAUGUUUAGGUACACUUCUUAAAUUUAGAGCAAGAGUUCCUUGAUAUGUCAUAUACCAUCAGAUGCUAUAUUAUUUUAAUUAGUGUUACAUAAUUCAACAUAUCUUAUUUUCCAAAACAAAUAACUAAAAGUUAAAUGAAAAGAGUUAGUUGUCACCCUUGUAUUUGUAUAGAGAAACAUAUAUUUAGAUAUUUUAGUCUAGAAGAUUAUAUUUGAAAUCCUUCUUUUCAUUUAUUUUUGGAUGCAAAAGUAAGCUUUAUAUAGAAACAUAUUAAUCAAUACAAGAUUUAUCAUAUUUAUAAAAAUAUAAUGUGAUAAAUAUUUAUAUCGACAUGAUAUUAGACUUAUAUAAAUUUUAGAUCAUAAUAGAAGACAAACGUGCAGCGCACGUUUUCAGAACUAGUCUAGUAUAGGUAGGAAUUGAGAUAAUUUGCUCCAGAAAGUUGAUUGUUUAAUAUGUAUCAGCAGGAUGUUUAUAGCAAUUCAUUUAUGAUCUUGUGACAAAUAUCAGUCUUCAUCUUAGUUGGCUAUUACGACACACUUUUCUUGUCUAUUAACAUAUGUUCUCUCUCACAUCUUGUAGACUGAAAUAUCUCCACCAUAGAAGUCGAUGGAGAAUACAUUUAAUGAUUAAAGCGAAUGAUGCUCUCACAAAUGUAAGUUUUUCUUUGUCCUCAGAAGCUUUCUAUUUUUGUUUACUUCCCUUUGCUUUUCCUUUGUUAAGAUCUUCUUGAGCAGUAUGGAGUAUUUAUUGCCACUAUGAAGUCGAGAAAUCAUCUUCAGUUCGAGAUAAAUUUAAUUUUAGAUAACCAAUAAAAAAACAAAGGUGAAAAAAUCUUUAUAUUCGUGUGGGAACACUGUAAAAUGAAAUCUAAUAUACAUAGGAAUUAAAAUAAUCUGCUCCACAAAAUCUUGUUCUUUCCGUUUCAGUGAGUUUAGAGUUAUGCACAUGUUCACUAUUGAAUUCAAAGCUUUAAUAGAAUUCAAAGGUGUACAAUACACAAGGUUUGUUUCCUAUCUAUCAAAAAUAUAUAAAAGUUUGCCUCCCAAUAAAUUUAAUACCUAUAAACAUCAGCACUAUUCAAGUUUUUAUUAAUGAUUAUUGGAUAUCAACUUAGCAGUUUUUUUCUUUGUCAGGAUUUUGGUAACAGUAUAUGUAAGCUAUUACCGCUCUAGCUCAGUUUGUACCAGGAAAGUUCUGCUGCAAUUCUCUAUUGAAUAGACCGUUGCUACAAUGUGGUCUGACAGCAAAGUGUAAGUGAAUAAACAUAGUUUCGCAGUUUUGUCGCUGACUGUAAAUAUUAAGUUUAUGCUUUAAACUGUUUAAACAUAAAUCUGUGUGAUCAUUAGAAUGAUGUAUAUCUUUGAUAUUAAUGAUGUUUAAUAUUCUUUUCAAAAUAUAAAUUAUGUUGUGCUUAUCAUCAGACUUGCUGCAAAUGGGACGUACAGCUCUGAUGGAACCCAAAGGUACAUGAUAAAAAGUUUUUAAGUAACACACAAGAGAGAUAUUGACAUUAUGGUCAUAGAUUAUAAGGAAAGAUAUUACUUUUUCAUUGUUAGGAUUUUGACAAGGCUCGGUGCUCAUUUGGGAAGUGAAAAGUUUCGAAGGUCUCUCUGUUCAAGUCAAGAAGUGAAAGCUAUUGAACUAUGUAUGUAAUAGCUUGUAUUGUUUACUUUGGGUCCUAUGCUCCUUCGACUUUAAAAUGCCUCAUUUGGGUCUAAUGUCACUUCUUUUUAUUCCAACAAUCAAUAUCGUUCUUGCGUUUUGUUGAUGUGGUAUAUGCCUAGGCUGCUACAAUGUUGUUCUUUUUACUCUAGAUACCAAGACGGAAAGCAAGAGAUGACACAAUUAUUGAACUUUCUGUAUUGAGAAAUCGGAAUUUCUGGAAAACUAUACUAGUGAAUUAUAAUCCCGGGAGCCUUUCCCCUCAAGCUCUCAAGAAAAGGCAACAAAUCGUCACUCAAAUAAAUUAGUAGCGGGUUAUUUGGGAAGCGAAAAGUUUCGUAGGUCUCUCUGCUCGAAUUGAGAAGGGAAAGUUGCUUUCAUCUUAAUACCAUAUGGUCUGAUACAUCACUAAUCUCCACUGCUCGCAAUGGAUAUAAAUUACUGCUCUUUGCGGAUUGAGACUGACACACAAUUAACUAAUCUGGCUCAUAUAUGGACACGAGUCUCCACUCAUCUAUUAUCUUUGAUUAUAUUGGACCACCUUCGACACGAACCGUCCCUGUAAAUUUUCCAUUCAAGUUUAUGUGAAUAAACAAAGCAUUUGUGUUGAGUUCGAAAGAGAUUAGGGCGUCAUGCGCUAGCUUACAAUUGCAUAUUAUAUGUUAAUAAAUCAGAUAACAAAAACUUGUACUAAAAAUCAAAAUAUUAUUAUAUGAUUUGACCAAAUGACCUACAUAUUUAAAAACUAAUAAAAAGACAUUAAAACUUGAAAGAUUUCAAAGAAAUCUUGAAGAAUUAUUUGGGAAAUUUUUCUCUAUUUUCACUGAACCAAAAUUGUACAAAGAGUUGCUUACUUAUCCAUGUAAACUAAGGACUAGAAAGUCAAUUUAAAAGGAAGUAGGUAACCAACUCUGACUAUAUACUUUACAGCUCAUCAUAUUCUAAAAUAAUCUAAAAAAUCUCUUCUUAUACAAUGUGAAUUAAUAUAAGCAACGUUGUAUAUUGAAAUGGGCUGCUGAAAUGGCAUUUGUGUGCUUCAGAUGGGAUGAAACCCAAAGAUAAAAUAUCAGCCCCAAGAGACGUGCAUUCUAGAAUAAGGCUCUCAACCCGUGUCCGAAUAAAGCUCAUCUUCUUCAUUCUUGGUACUGCCAGUCGGUGAUCAUGAGUUCCAACAAAACUGUAGAGAGUAAAGACUAUCUGAACGAUUAUAUUGUGGAUGUUAUUAUGUUCAUAGUGUGAGAAGUUGGGUUUUCUAUUUAUAGGACGUUUAGAAUAAACCAAAUAUGGAAAAUAAUUAUAUUUUUUUUUCAGAAAAAAUUCAAGCAUUUAUGUUAAUACUUUGACUUUUCUUUUAUGAAAAUAAACUUCAAAUAAGGUAAAAAAAUCAAAGCAACCAAAAACAAAGGAAAAGAGAGAGAUUACAUAGUAUCACACAUAGCAAGGCAGCAAGGCUAAUAUGACACAAACAAGACCAUAGUAGAUAAGUAUGGUGCACGUCAUGGUUUAUUUUGUAAAACUACGUAUUAAAUGAAUAUAUUUUUUAGAAUUGAUCUAAUAUUACUUGUUAUCCAUGCUACUAAAAAUAAGAAGUUCAAGUCAUCAUCAACUAAGUUUUGAGUUGGUAAGAAUCACUGAUACUACAAAUUUUCUUGAUAAAAGAGUGUUUACAACUUAUUAAACCUCAUAGGUUUGAAAGCCAUGAAUCAAAUAAGAAUAAGAAGUCUGGGACCCAAUGGCAAUAUGUAACUCGUAAGUUUUGAAAGACAUUUUAUUAGAGAGAAAUUUACGUUGUUUCUAUGUUUGUGUUUUGUUGGAUGUUUGGUGAAAAAAGUAGAUCAUCUCCUAUUGCAUUCUUUAGUUGGUUUAUAACACAAUGAGUGAUUCAACAUCUAUUUAUAUUUUUGAUUUAGAAAUAUUAUUAUACACUUGUAGAUAAAACUUCCAACAACAUAGAAAUAUGUUAAAUCUGAUUUACUUAUGCAACAAAUAUUAUAUCUUACGGGUAGAACGAACAAGGAACAUGAAAACUAAAUGUUUUUGUUAUCGGGUUGACUAAACAGGAUACAGAAAAAUCAUGUCUUUGAAUUGCAUAACAAAGAGUGUACUGAUAUUUUAUACUUUAUAAUAUCAUCACACGAAUUUUAUACUGAAGAUGUGUGCCUUUUUGUUGUCAAUUUUUUUGCAGUGAUACAAAAGCAGAUAGUGAAGACAGGUCAAAGAUUCUACUUUGAUGAAUUCUUUUUCAAUUCUUCAUCAAGAGACGAUUUAGAGUUUUUGGUAAAACUUUCUCUUUCACCAAGAGUCUCCAGCAAAAUGGGCAAUAAUUAGUUUAUCAGGAGUUCAAGUAUAUCUCGAAUUGGUUAUGGGUUAUUGCAAGUGCUUUUGGUUUUUACGUUUCUUUUCUAAUUUUUGUGGUGUUUGAAACAGAUCAAAAAAUAUUUUUAAACACUUAUUUUUAGACCCAAAAGAAGUAUAAAAAUAAGCUAAAGGCCAAAGGUAGGUAUUCCCAACUUAUGAGUUUAGCUUUUAGCUUAUAAGAUACUUUUAAAAAGUUAAUCCAAACACCCUCUUAAACUUUUAAAUUAAUUUUAAUUAAUAAGAUGUUAGCUAUUUGUUUAUAAUAUAUUAUCUUGAUAUGGUUGUAAAAACUUUAUUUAUCAAUAUGAAUAUUUGAAUUGUUUAUUUCAAAAUUCUAAAAAUAUUUUUGAUAAAAAGUAAAAUAGGUUCUCUUUCUUUAUUUUUAAUUUAAAUUUUGAGUUUUUUUCUUACAAAAAGGUACAAAAUUUAUAUAAAAUAGAAUAAAAAGGCAACUUUAAAUUAUUAUUAUUAUGUUUAUGUGUAUAUAUGUAUACCUGGACACGUUCGUUGCACGUGUAUUCCAUAUUAAUUCUUAUAAAUUCAUAUUAUUUAAAAAUAACAAACUUUUAUCUUAUACAUAAUUCAAUAACAGUUUCUUAAAUUAAAAAAAUAUCAAUAUAUAGCUAAAGAUAAAAUUCCUCAUGUUCCUAAUCUCAUAGCACCUUUGUAAAUGAUAUCUCUUCGUGUAAUUUCAUCUCCAAAUAUAUUGUUUGCCACAUUUGUAUCAUUUCUCAAUAUUUUAACAAUAAAAAAGAAAAUAAUAUAAGAAGAUACAUUUAAAGAAAGUUUAUAGAACGAAAAGGAAAGUACAUUGAAUUAAAUAUAAAAGUGAGAGAAGAAGAAUAGCAAAUUGGAUAUCAUAUCAAUUGUUCUAAUGGCUCAUAAUAGUGGUUUAAAUUCCACAAUGUCAUUAUAAGUUGUUCAAAAUUGUAAAUGAAUAAAAUUAUUAAUGAUAAAAAUAGUGUGGUAGAGAAAGAAAUCAAGUGUGUGAGGCAUCUGAAAAUAAGUAAAUUCAUUAUUUAGAGCCAAUAUAUCUUAUAUCAUACUCUUUCAAAUAUGAUUUCUUUUUACACCUUUAAAAUUACUUAUUUUCUCUUUUUUCAUUUUCUUCUCUUCUGAAGUUGAUUUGCAAUCAAUCUCUGACGGGCAAUAUCCAUCUUUGUAAGUUGACUCCUAAAUAGUAACAGUGAAGAAAUGUAUUUUUCUCCAUGCCUUGAGAAUUCUUUUUUCUUUUCUCCCCAAUUAUUUUCUUUCACAAUCCACAAACUUUAGAUUUUGUAUGCAACUUAUAAUUGUUGUGAGCUUUUAUAAGGUGUAGUAAAAAUGAGAAGUCUAUACUUAAGUAUUACUUAUUAACAAUGGAAUCUCAAAGGAUCAAAACAGAUCAUAAUUACAACAUGCACUAAUUAUUUGGCAGAUGAAACAAUUCUUCCGAUUAUUACUCAAUUCAAUGCAAGUGAUCAGAUUAUAUUUAACAUAAAGCUUUGUUAUUAAUUUCAAGUUCUUCAAAUUCAUUAUGUUUUUAUCAUCUAAUGUUUAAUUAAUUAAAUAAUUUAUAACAUUUUAAUUUAGAAUAGGGGUAAAAUGGUAACCAAGCAUUUAUAUAUAUAUAAAAUAAAUCAACGAAGCAAUGUCGAAGGACACGCAUAUAGGGUGUGUCCGCUCCUGAUUAAGUUAAGGUUUUAUAUCUUUAUGAAUAUUAAAUUAUCUUCCAAAUUCUUUUUUUUUGGGGGGGGAGAAGGGGUCUACCGCAUAUGGCAAUUUAGAUCUCUAAAAUCCGCACCAAGAAGGGAAAAUCGUUGAAUCUUUUAAUUUGCUAGUAUUGUUCGCUUUGUGCUAGGCGCACACAAUUUUAAAAUAUUAUAUAAGAGUGAAAAUUAUUUUCGCUUUCCAACUUUGCUGUAAAAAUUGAACUCCUUUUCAAUUUUAAACAACUAGUAUACGUGCUCGUGUGUUGCGCAGUUAGUUGAUAAAUGCAAUUGUAAAUAUUAAUUUAUUGACAAUUUUAAAGUUUAACUUAUUAUUAAAUAAUAUUAUCAAAUAAAUGCUUCACAUUAAAUAUGUAUACAUAAUACCUUUAACAAUAUAUCAAAAUAAAAAAUAAAAAAUAAAGAUUCAAAUCCAGGGAAUUAAACACCAAUCAUCCUACAAAUAAAACUUCAAAUCAUUGAAAGUUAUAAAUAAAAAAAAGGAAAAAUAAUCAUCAAAAACUAAUGGCUUGCAAUAAUUAUUGAUAAGAGAUUUUAAUGCUUAAAAAGUUGCUAUAUCUAUUUAUCAAAUUUCACUGAUAGUGUUAAUUCUAAGUAUGAAAUUGAUUAUAGUGGCUUUGUCUCAACAACUACAAAGUCACAUCCAAAGAAGAAGGAAAAAAGUUAUAUUGUCAAAAUUUUUUAUGCAUAAAUAGAAAUAGAAAACAAAUAAAUUAUUUUACACUUUUGAUAAUAAGUGUUUCCUAAUUAUCUUUAUGUAAAUAUUUCAUUAACAUAUUCAUUUAUAUAAAAUUUAUAAAAGAGACUUCUUUUAAUACUAAUAAACAUAAACAAAUAUUAAUUAAUAAGCAUAAACAAAUAUCAACUAUUAAUAAAUAACUAAAUGUGUAUGAAUCUUUUUUAGUAAUUUGUAUAUUUAGUUCGUGAUUUAUAUUUUUUGAUUAGUUAAAAGAUCAACUGAUAAAAUAAAGUAUUUAAAUACUUAUGAUAAUAUGGUUAAACAUGAGGUAUGUAUCAAAAAAAAUAAUCUUAAAACAUAUUUAAUUUGACGUAAUUAUUUAAAAUAAUCAUAAUUAUUUAUUUCAUGAUUUUUUAUUUUUUAUUUAUUUAAAAUAAAUACUGAAAAAUAAAAUGUUAUUAACACAAAUUUUUAUUGAUUAUAGGACUGUGUAGUAAUGUAUUGGUUAUGGGGAGUUAUAAAAAUAUUUUUUUGUCUUUUCAUUAACGUAUUCAUUUAUAUAAAAUUUACAAAGAGACUCCUUUUAAAACUAAUAAGCAUAAACACAUUUUAAUUUAAUAGCAUAAAUUUAUUAUAAUUAAGUAAUUUAAUGUGGUGAGAAUGCAUGCUAAUUAGUACUAUGUGUUAAGAAUUUAUGUGUAAAAUACAUAUCGUGUAUUAUUUUUAGCUCCCAAUAUUAAACAGAACUUUAUUUCAUUCGAUUUGGACUCGGAACAUCUAAAACAAAUUAAGUUUUUUAUUUAUCUUUUUUUUCCAGAGAACUCAUUUUAUUGUUUCAUCAAUGACUUGAAUUCAUGUUUUUAGUGGAGGUACAGAGUGUUUAUCAACUGAGAUAAAGUAUCUAAAUUUUAACUAGUUUUAGAUAAGUAAAUUUUACCGCAAAAAAAAUCAAAUAUUUCAUAUCUGAAUACACAAUCAAAAUUAAAAGAUUUGACCUUUCAAAUUUUUUUUGUGUCUCGUAAACUAAAAAAACGAAUAAUAUUUAAGUAGUUAUGGUUCCUCAUGAAUAAAUUAUAUACGGAGUUCAAUAUAUUUCAUAAACGACACAUUUCAUUACAAUAACAACAUAUUCUAUAUAGUUCUACGUAUAAAAUGUGAUUUGAAAAUAAUAAAAUGUACGUAGACCUUACUCUGCUACGGAGGUAGAGAGGUAACGACACAAUUGAUCAUCAUUGCUUAGAAAAACUUACCUAAUUAACAUUUAAAAAUUAUUAUAGUUAACUAAUUAAUUGUCCUCUCAUCUGUUCCAAUUGACUGGACAGAUUUUAGUUAUAAUAUGUUAGUGAAAAAUUACAAAAUUACAAGAUUACAAUUGAAAAUAAAAAUGAAGAAAUAAAUCUCUUCAGAUUGAGGCGUGGAUAUGUCGCUCUCUUUAAGGAGAUUCAAGCCCACUUAAGCAAAUGUUUUUCAUCGGUCCAACAGUAGUCCUCUUUACUUGUCCCCUCCAGGAUACAACAGCCUAAUCACAAAGUGUAACUCAACAAAUUUUGGACAAGAGUUGAGUUCAAACCUCCACAAAAAGAACACCUUCCUUCAACUAAUAAAAACUCUCUUUUUGGACAAACUUUAUGCACUAUGAUCUAUAUUUUUCUUGUGUGUCAACCAAACAAAGACCACCACUAUUUAUAGUUGCGGAUGUCUUCCUAGCAAUGAAUAGGAAGAUAAUGGGUAGUAAAUAAUGAAGAUAAAUGGUAUUAGAAAUUACAUAUGUUAUAAGGUAUAAUGGAGAAAUAAAGAAUGAGAUAACAAAGAUUGAAUGAAAAAGAAUUAGUGGUCAUGGUUGACCACCUUCUGCCACUAACAGUAACCUCCAAUGGCCAACGUUUUGUAACCAUCAAAUAAAGGGUAAUAAUGCCUAAAUAACACAAGUGAGUAAUGCCUAAGGUUGCAGCAAUGAAAUAGAGAUUGCUCCAACACUUGUCAUUUGCCUCUCUCCCUAGAGAAUUUCGCUUGUCACUCUCCCAGAUCUCGCUCGUCACUCUCCCUCGCCCUCUCUCACUUUAUACAACACAAUGUAUAAAUUGCGUUUGUGUUUGUAUAAAGCGAGAGAAAACUGUAUAUAAAAAUACAAAUACAUAUAUUUUUGUCCUAUACACUAAUAAUUAUACAAAUACAGAUAUUUCCCUACCAGUUCUCUUUUGCCUUCCUCUCGUUCUCGCUUUAUACAAAUACAAUGUAUAAUUUGUGUUGUAUAAAUCGAGAGAGAGAGAUUUGAUAUACAAAUGUUUAUUUUGAUUCAAUUGUAUACAAAUUCAAAUUUUAUGCAGAUAUACAAACACAAUCAAGGAUACAUAUACAUAGUAGUUACAUAUAUGCUGGUCAACAUUUUAAUAUUAAUAUUUUAUAUAUUAAUUUGUUAAAAGUUUGGAGUCAAAUGGUGCCUUUGCUGUCAAGUUAUCCGUUGGUGGUAAUUCAUUUGUCUUAACAAUUGGAAAUAUAUUUGGAGCAUUACUCCAUUUGGAGUAAGUGCUGAUGUUACUGACUGUUUCUCUUGCAGCAUCGUUUAGUGGCAUCUUGGCCAUAAGUUCUCCAUAUUAUUUCUCCAUUAUCUCACUCUUUAUUCCUCCAUUAUACCUUGUAACAUAUGUAACUCGUAAGAUCACUAUCUUCACUAUUUACUACACCAUUAUCUUCCUAUUCAUGGCUAGGAAGACUUCUUCUAGUAUAAAUAGUGGUGGUCUUCAUUUGGUUUGGGAGAUACAAUACACACAAGAAAAAUAUAGAAUGCAUAAGUUUGUCAAAAAGAUAGUUCUUAUUAGUUGGAGGGAGGUGUUCUUUUUUGUGGAGCUUUGGACUCAACUCUUGUCCAGAGUUGUUGAGUUAUACUUUGUGAAGGCUGUUGUAUCCUGGAGGGGACAAGUCAAGAAGAAGUACUGCUGGACCGGUGAAAACAUUUGCUGCAGUGGGCUUGAAUCUCCUUAAAGAGAGCGAGAUAUCCGCGCCUCAGCCUGAAGAGAUUUAUUUUCUUCAUUUUAUUUUUCAAUUGUAAUCUUGUAUUUUUGUUAUCUUGUAAGUUUUCACUAACAAUUUUAAGGAGAUUCAAAAUGGCUACAAUUGAAAAAAAUGCGGAUGUCAAGAUGGGAGACCUUAACAAGCCAUUUCGGUUCAAUGGUAACCAUUUUAAGAGAUGGAAGGGUAAAGUACUUUUCUACUUGAGUCUUCUCAAUGUUUCUUAUGUGUUAACUGAGAAGAAUCCUAAUAAAAUAGACAUCACCUUUAUGAAUGAUGAUGAAACUAUUUCUCAUCUAGAGAAAGUGGAAAAGUACGAUGGUGAUUCCUAUAAGUGUCGGUAUUAUAUUCUUAAUUGUCUAUCUGAUAAUUUUUAUGAUUAUUAUGAUAGAACUUACUCUAGUGCAAAGAAAAUUUGGAAAGCAUUGCAGAGUAAGUAUGAUACCGAAGAGGCUGGAACGAAAAAAUAUGCAGCUAGUCGAUUUUUUCGUUUCCAAAUGAUGGACAACAAAUCAGUGGUAGACCAAGCGCAAGACUUUAUAAUGAUUGUUGGAGAGCUUAGGUCCGAGGAGGUUAAAAUUAGAGAUAACCUUAUUGUUUGUGGCAUAGUGGAUAAACUUCCACCUUCUUGGAAGGAAUUUCAAAAAACUAUGCUCCACAAACAAAAGGAAACCUCUCUUGAAACCUUGAUAAUGAAAAUCCGCAUGGAAGAAGAGGCAAGAGGCCAAGAUGCACUUUUACAAACAGAAGAGAACAACAUCACAACGAAGGUAAAUUUAAUUACUUCAAAUAAUGCUACUCCUGAAUCUCACAAAAAUACUUCUUUGAAGCCUAAGAAGAAAAAAUUCAAGAAAAAUAAUGGUAGACCUCCCAAGAAAAAUAAUGGUGAAAAUAACCAAGCACAAAAUCAACAAGUUCAAGACAAAGGACCGUGCUUUGUUUGUGGCAAGAGUGGGCAUAUUGCUCGAUUUUGCAGAUUCCAAAAAUGUGGUCCNNNNNNNNNNNNNNNNNNNNNNNNNNNNNNNNNNNNNNNNNNNNNNNNNNNNNNNNNNNNNNNNNNNNNNNNNNNNNNNNNNNNNNNNNNNNNNNNNNNNNNNNNNNNNNNNNNNNNNNNNNNNNNNNNNNNNNNNNNNNNNNNNNNNNNNNNNNNNNNNNNNNNNNNNNNNNNNNNNNNNNNNNNNNNNNNNNNNNNNNNNNNNNNNNNNNNNNNNNNNNNNNNNNNNNNNNNNNNNNNNNNNNNNNNNNNNNNNNNNNNNNNNNNNNNNNNNNNNNNNNNNNNNNNNNNNNNNNNNNNNNNNNNNNNNNNNNNNNNNNNNNNNNNNNNNNNNNNNNNNNNNNNNNNNNNNNNNNNNNNNNNNNNNNNNNNNNNNNNNNNNNNNNNNNNGUCUAAUCAAUAUGUNNNNNNNNNNNNNNNNNNNNNNNNNNNNNNNNNNNNNNNNNNNNNNNNNNNNNNNNNNNNNNNNNNNNNNNNNNNNNNNNNNNNNNNNNNNNNNNNNNNNNNNNNNNNNNNNNNNNNNNNNNNNNNNNNNNNNNNNNNNNNNNNNNNNNNNNNNNNNNNNNNNNNNNNNNNNNNNNNNNNNNNNNNNNNNNNNNNNNNNNNNNNNNNNNNNNNNNNNNNNNNNNNNNNNNNNNNNNNNNNNNNNNNNNNNNAGUUUUAGGGUUAAUCCCAAUGAUUAAAAUACAUUUUGAAAUGUGUGAGGCUUGUAGUAAAGCCAAAAUCACUAAAAGGCCUCAUUUUCAAGUUGAAAGAAAAACUGAUUUGUUAGAUUUAGUUCAUACUGAUAUUUGUGAACUUGGUGGAAUUUUAACUCGUGGAGGUAAUAGAUAUUUUAUCACUUUCAUUGAUGAUUUUUCUAAGUUUACAUAUGUUUACUUGAUGAAAAAUAAAAGUGAUACUUUUGAAAAUUUCAAAACUAUCUUCAUGCGGUUGAAAAUCAGUUUGGAAGAAAAAUAAAAAGAAUUAGAAGUGAUAGAGGCCGUGAAUAUGAGUCAAAUGAGUUUAAUUCUUUUGUUAGAUCAUUGGGAAUAAUUCAUGAAACUACUCCUCCUUACUCUCCUUCAUCUAAUGGAGUAGCGGAAAGGAAAAAUAGAACUUUGGUUGCCAUGCUUAUUGAGUCACAUGCACCUUUAAAUUUUUGGGGUGAAGCUAUUUUAACUGCUUGUUAUGCGUUGAAUCGUGUGCCUCAUAAAAAGUCUAAAUUGACACCUUUUGAAUUUUGGAAAGGUUACAAGCCAAGUUUGGGAUAUCUAUUAACGCAAUUUAAAUUAAAAUUCUAUUCAACUGUCUCCAAAAGCAUCACGUCUUGUUUACACUUGAAAUUAAAAAAUUACCUUAUAAGUUGUUAAAAAGAAAAUUUUCGUAGUAGAUUUUCAUGUGAGAGAUCAAACACUUAAACAUCAAUUAAAGAAUAUGAUGCAAAAAAUCAAGAAACUAAAUGGAAAGAGCUUUGAUCUUCAAGGGGAUUAAAACUUGUGAAGAAGAGUCCCUAUUACAUUACAACAUCAAUUUGACAUCAAAGUCCUAUAUUUCUUAUUAACAAUUUGCAUUAAGCCUAGUGUUUUAAUGAAGGACAAAAAGUUCAAUCAACAUUUCUAGAAAAGGGUCUUAUAGUAUAAUUGAUUGAUAGAUACUAGAAUUGCUAAUGUGCUUCUUCAAGGAACUCUGUCACUUAACAUUGAGCUCCAAUGAACAUUGAGAUGUUAUCCGCGAGUGUGUUGCACACAUGUACGUAUUUGGCUGAAUUUUCCAAAAAUGUAAAAAUAGCACAGCUGAACCAUGUAUUGAUGUUUAAUUAAAUGAUACAAGUCUUUGGUCACUAAAUGGUCCCCGUUUUUUACAACCACCAAUUGAGAAAGCAAUGAAUAGGCACUAAUUACAACUUCUUGUUUGCAAAUUUACUAGCAAAAGAGAGAGAAAUCAGUGAUCAUUCUUGUUUGCAAAUUACUCUUAGCUUUAACAGGUAAAGUGAAAUUGUUAGUAAUUUAACAUACAAACAUUCAUCUCCUGAAAUUUCUUAAAAUCAUUUUGUGUUUUGAUUUGCAGAUUUCAGUAAAAUGGAGGUUGGCUUAGCAGUUGGUGGUGCAUUUAUCUCUUCAGCUUUGAAUGUUCUCUUUGAUAGGAUUACUCAUCUGACCUAAGCAAGAGGGUGCUGCAUAACAUACUGCCAAGACUAACAUCCUUAAGGGCAUUAUCAUUGUCAGGUUAUUACAUUGAGGAGUUGCCAGAUGACUUGUUUAUCAAAUUAAAGCUCCUCAGAUUUUUGGACCUUUCUCAGACAUGUAUUGAAAAGUUGCCAGAUUCCGUUUGUGCAUUGUAUAAAUUGGAGACACUUCUCUUGUCAUUUUGUACCUCUCUUGAAGAGUUACCGCUGCAGAUGGAAAAGUUGAUUAACUUGCGUCAUCUUGACAUAAGCAACACUUGGGUCUUGAACAUGCUGCUACAUCUGAGCAAGUUGAAAUGCCUCCAAGUGCUAGUGGGAGCCAAGUUUCUUGUAGGUGGUUUGAGAAUGGAAGAUUUGGGUGAAGUAGAGAACUUGUAUGGAUCUCUAUCAGUUUUAGAGUUGCAAAACGUGGUUGAAAGAUGUGAAGCUGUGAAGGCAAAGAUAAGGGAGAAGAAUCAUGUUGAGCAGUUAUCAUUGGAGUGGAGUGAAAUUAGUAGUGCUGACAAUUCACAAACAGAAAGAGACAUUCUUGAUGAGCUACGCCCACAUGAAAACAUAAAAGAAGUCGAAAUCACCGGAUAUAGAGGAACAAAAUUUCCAAAUUGUCUAGCUCAUCAUUCGUUUCUUAAGCUAGUAGAAUUGUCUCUUAGCAACUGCAAGGACUGUGAUUCCUUGCCAGCACUAGGAGAACUUCCUUGUUUGAAAUUCCUUUCGAUUAGAGGGAUGCAUGGAAUAACAGAGGUGACACAAGAAUUCUAUGGCAGUUCAUCCUCCAAAAAGCCUUUUAACUGUCUUGAGAAGCUUGAAUUUGAAGAUAUGCCGGAGUGGAAGCAAUGGCACGUACUAGGAAGUGAGGAGUUCCCUAUACUUGAGAAGCUUUCAUUUAGAAAUUGUCCGAAGUUGAUGGGGAAGUUGCCUGAAAAUCUUUCUUCUCUGACAGAAUUGAGAAUUUCAAAGACGCCUCUUUUUGACGAGGCUGGACUGUUUGCAUCCCAACUUCAGGCUGACAGAAUCGUUGUAUUAUCUAUUGAGUAUUGUAACUCUGUUACCUCCUUACCUUUUAGGAUACUGCCCAGUUCCUUCAAGAGAAUAUGGAUAUCUCACUGCCAGAAAUUGAUAUUGGAGGAGUCAGUUGGUUAUUGUAACAUGUUUCUCGAGGAAUUGACACUGCAAUUUACAACAACUUCAGAUCAAGAAAUGCACAAAACUGGUGAAUGGCCGAAAGGAGUGGUGUUUACAGACACUCCCCUGUCUCAGAGAGUUAAGCAUCUACCAUGAUGGCGGUGACGAAGAUAUCCAACAUUGGGAGUUGCCUUCCUCUAUUCAGAGACUUACCAUAGACAAUCUGAAAACAUUAAGCAGCCAACAUCUCAAAAGUCUCACCUCUCUUCAACAUCUACGUAUUACUAAUUUACCUCAAAUUCAGUCACUGUUGGAAGAAGGCCGGCUUCCCUCCUCUCUUUGUGCGCUAAGUUUAGAUUACCAUCAUGAGCUCCAUUCACUAAGUCUUUCGCACCUCACUUCUCUUCGACGUCUACACAUCACUGCUUGCCCUAAUCUCCAAUCACUUUCCGAAUCAGCACUGCCCUCCUCCCUCUCUCAGCUGAUCAUCUUUGAUUGCCCUGAUCUCCAAUCACUUCCAGUAAAAGGGAUGCCCUCUUCCCUCUCUUAUCUAUCUAUUUCCAACUGUCCAUUGCUCAAACCACUCCUAGAAUUUGACAAGGGGGAAUACUAGCCAAAUAUUGCUCAAAUUCCCAUCAUAAAUAUCCAUGGGAAACACCUGUAAACAAAUGAUGCUUUGACAAAUGUAAGUUAUUCUUUUCCCUCAGAAGCUUUUUAUUUUUGUUUACUUCACUUUGUUUUUUUGCUAAUUCUUUUCUUUUUUUUUCUAUCUUGCCGAGCAGUGUGGAGCAUCUAUUGCUCAAACAACGGCUACUGACCAAAAAUUGCUCAUGCUUCCACCAUAAAUGCUGAUUGGGAGAACCUGUAAUAAUUAAAACGAGUGGUGCUCCUACGUACAGAUUUGUAAGUUAUACUAUUUCCUUAGUAUCAUUUGAUUUUUUGUUACUCCUCUUUGCUCGUCUGUUAAAUAUUUUGGACCAGUGUGUAGAAUCUAUUACCUCUGUGAAGUCGAGGAAAUAUCUAUAGAUCAGGAUAAAAUCUUUAUAUUUGCAUUGAGACAUUGUGAAAGAAAUCUAGUAUAGGUAGGAAUUGAGAUAAUUUGCUCCAGAAAGUUGGUUGCUUAAUAUAUGUCAGCAUGAUGUUUAUAACAAUUCAUAUAUUCUUGUGACAAAUCUCACUUUCCAUCUUAGUUGACUCUUAAGACUCCCUUUUCUUGUCUGUUAACCUAUGUUCCGUCUCAAAUCUUGCAGACUGGAAUAUUAUUUGCCAUCAUGAAAGUUGUUUCGCAUUUUUCAUUUCUUCUACAAAGAUAAAUGGGUCCAAGAAAUGCAACCUCACUUUCUCAAUCAGGAAACCAAGACCUUGAUAAGAGUUGCAUCAAUCUUGAAAUUUAAAGAAAUUGAGAACGACUUUGAAUGCCUACUUCCAUUAUUUACGCCAUGUUGUACCACAAUAAUUUCAAGUUUGAUGCGACUACAUAAUUACAUCAGUUUUUUUUUUUUUGGUAAUCAAAGAUCCAGAAUAUUGCAUCAGUUUUUUGGUCUUGAUAUUCAGAGAACUUUGGAGAUUAUGAAGUUUCCUUUGAGAACUUUGGAGAUUAUGAGUAAUAGUUUACACUGUCAUAAAUCAGCGAAAUAAAUUUACUUCGUUGGCACUCUCAUCAGUCAUCAGCCAGCGAAACAAAGAAACCAACACACCCAAUCUAAACCUGAAUUUUUUACAAAAUCAACACACCCAAUCUAAACCUGAAUUUUUUCUGUUGCAUUUUAAUGAUCCGACUAAAAAUAUUUAAAAGAUAGUUACUAAGUUUUAGUUUUUUUAAUGUAUUUAUAAUGUAAAGCUCUAUUUCAUUAGUUGAAAGCUGCAGAAGAUAAUGUUUUAAUGUCAAGUGCAAACACUUGGAGUUUUCGUUUGCCAAAUGAGACUCAUAUAAUAUGAGUUUUCUUAAUUAAGUAUUCAUAUUUUUGUAUUUCUAAUUAUGCAGUAAAAUCAAGGUGUUCAUUUAGUUCUCACUUUAAUUUAAGGUUGAAAAUGAUGAAUUUGAUUGGGGAAAUAGUGAAACAUUUUGAUUAUUCAUUUGCAAUAAAAGGAAAGAUACUUGAAGGUUUCUUUUUGUUAGAUUUUCUUCGUGGAAUUUGCUUAUGUUAGCUUUUUGGAGUUGUUCAGAAAUACCAUUAGAUCGGUUGAAGGCUAAUUGGAUAUAAUUGUCUUCAUGACGUGUUUGCUAAGUUUCUGUCGCCUAAUUCAGAUUCCACUGGAUUAGUUUCUACCCAAGAUUAUGCAUAUAUUUGGUGUAAGGUUGAAAAGUAAAAACCUCAAAUGAUAUAUGUAUUUUCUUUUUUAAAAAUACAAAGUUGCGAUGAAGAUUGAAAAUUUUGAUGGUAUUAAUUUUUAUAUGGAUCACCAUUGAGAACUUUGCCUGAGGUAUUAAUCUCCAUUUUCCCUAUUUAUAAAUGUUUCCUGUAGCUCCUAAUUGUGAUGCUUCAUUUACACAUUUUUUACAUUAUAUCUUAUUACAGGGAUAAAGUCUGUCAAGAGUCAAUUAGAUGUUACAGACUUGCAACUACUUGUUGUGCGUUAUAUAUAUAAUUGCAUAUUUCUUGGAUAUCAAGUAUUGGAUUGGUUUCUCAUUGCUUAUUGACUUAUACUCUUACGCGUUUUAAUUUCACAUCUCAAUUGCGAAAGAAAGAUAUCAUAUGUAGCUUGUGCAAAAUAUGAUGUCAUCUUACGUACUACUCUUUGUUGCAAUUUACCGUCCAGAUAACAUGACAGUUAAUUUUGUGGAAUUCUCCUUUGCUUGUCCUAUUAGCAUGAUUUGGUUGUUGAUCCAUUGUUGCUGUAGGAUUGUUCGAUCUUGUCUUUGUUGUUCUUAAACUUCGGUCAACAAAAAUCAUGAAUGGUCAGAAUAAUGCAAUUGAUUCGCAUCAGAGAUGAAUCUAAGGCUAAUAAACGGAUAGACGUAUCAUGAUGUAUUAUGACUGUUAGAGGGUGAACGAUUGAGAAGCCUUCAGUUCUUGAUUAAGCCUUCACAUUGCUUUGUUCUUCUAGCUUCUUCAGUAUAAAAAAAAUUGCUUGUGAGCCAUAUCUUGAAUUUGACACUUCUUCACCUGGCAGUAAGCUUAGAAAUCACUUUUUAUAGUCAAAUAGAACUAUAAAUAUAGACAGUGUAUGGUCUGUAAUAGAUCUACUUGUUUAUACUCAUCAUUAUGUCGAAGGGUUGUAAAGAAGAAGAUAUGAUACAGAACUUCAGAGAUCUUUCUCUAGUAGUCUGUAGUUUAUACGAUUAUCUUAAUGGAAGUCCCAAUUGACUGCUGCAUUCUAACCCUACCAUUGGUAGCCUAACUUAUACUUCAUAUCUUUAUCUUUCCUGUUAAAGAUACUUAUAAUUAACACUUGCAUUAUUUUUUACAACCGAGCUAGAAUUUUAGCUAUUUGUGUUAAAAUUGUGUAUUUGCAUUAAGAAAUCUACUUAUUGCUCAGAACCAAUUACUUUCUUUUUUUUGUAAAAUUCAGAAUUCAUAAACUCAAAUGCAAGUUUCACAAAUGAAAAGUCAUGUGCCUUUUAACUUGGAUUUUGGAGCCUACAAAAUAUGUGGAAAAUCCUGAAUAAAUGGGUCAGUGGAAUAAUAUGUGAGUUGUAAACCCAAAGAAGAUCAAAUGAAAUAUCCCAAUCUUGUAUUCCCAAGAAAUUGGAGAGAUUUUGUAAUGAAAGAAGAAAAUUGUGAAGCGGCAAUUAGGAAAGAAGAGAGAGUACACAUUCAGUGAACCAAAAGAGUGACAACAAAAGUCUUUUUCUAAGAACAUUCCCUUUUUGUAGAUUGUUUCCUAUAUUUCUUAUCCAAAUACAGUGUAUGCACAAGAGUGUAGCUAAAGCAAUACUGAACUAGUCACGUAUCAGGAUUUCUGAAGCAAUACAGCAUUCAAUUGUUGUCUCAGUUAGAUUGCUCCUUUUUUACAAAUGUAACCGUAGGUUUUCCAAAAUGAUAGCUUGAGUCCCUUUUCAACAAUCAUGUAAUGCUAAUUUUUUCUGUUGUUUUGCAUUUUCGUCUUUGCUAUUCGUAAGCCUGGGAUAAACUUUUGUCAUCUGGAAUUUGAAAAGUUAUGUUUUACUCCUUAUGAUAUGCAGAUAUGUAGUUGCAGAGAUAAAGCAUAUGACAAUCUGGCUCGGAAAGAACAGUUUGACAUCCAAGACAGUGAAGAGCUUAAUAGAAUGAAGGAAGAAAAUGUCAAUCUGCAAGAAAAGCUGAAUAAUACAGGUAUUAUUAAUUGAUAUUCCAGACGGUACAAAUUUGUAAAAUAUAAAAAAUCGCUUGUGAGCCAUAUAUGAUAUAUUGAAUUUUAAACUUCUUCACUUGCAAUAAUCACUUUCUUAGUUAAAUAAAACAAUAGUAUUUCAUUUCUUUUCUAGAGGAAUCAUACAUGUACAGCUAUAAACAUAGAGAUAUGUGUGCUGGUCUGUAAUUGCAAUACGUGGAUUGGCCAAGAAUUCUAAAAAUUCUUUUUAAUUGCUUUCAGUAAGGAGGUUGUGAUUUCCAAGUCGUACAGCUGUCUACUGUGGCUUCCUUGAGAUGAAACAUGACUUGCUGCAAAUGGAAUGUCAAGCUCUAAUGUACCCAAAGGCCGGAUGAGGACAAAACCAUGGCUGUUCACGCUUCAACUCAGUUUCCUGAGUAUACGCAUAGUUUGAUUGAUGUUGUCUUGGUGUUCCCGAACAUAAUAUCUGUGUGAUAACAGGAAGGGCUGAAGGUGGCUUUGGCGGCAAGAAAUAUGCCAGUGAGUACCCACAAGGAUUUUCGUUUAAAGCUACAGAUAAAAAAGGCCUUUUUGUUUAAAGUUGUUGCUUGGAAAUAGUUUUGCUCCUUUCAGUCUUAUGUUUUGUUUAAAAUUUUUGUAACCAAUCCUUCUUCGCGGGGGUGGGGGGAUUGAGGGGGUGACUGCAUUAUCAACCACUACAGUGAUUAGUAUAUUUCAUAAUAUUUAAGGUAUAUUCAUUGUUCAGUUAAGAGAACACAAGAGCUCAGCUUUUUAGAGGACCAUAAAUAUCUAAGGAUAAAUGAAAUGGGCAAAAAAGUUCCAUAUAUAUCUAUGUUGACCACAAAAACAAAGAAACUCUGCUCCAUCGCAUACCUUCACUUCCUAUGAACCGUCCAAAGGAAAGAUAUAUUCGAUUGAACAAAGAGCUAAGCUGCCUUUCAACGCAAAAGGCAUUAUUACACACAUAAGAGGGGAGAAAACAGGAAAAGAACUAUCAUACAAUAUGGAGAAAAAAAGCUCAAAACCAUUGUGCUCACGCAUAAGCAUGGAAAUAUGGGCUUUCAAGGUAGAAAAGUUAUGGCUGCAUGCCAACAAGCUUUAUCGGCAACUGGAUUAAACUGAACAACAAUUAAUGCCAGAGUUGUUGUCAGUGGAGUCCACAUUCCAUACAUUCUCAAGCAUGUUAAGAGUGACUCUGUGGUGGUAGUAAGAGAAUCGAAAAAUAAAUAAGAAUGUCUUGUUAUAUAAUUUCAUAUAGUAAGAUAGCAAGAAAAACUAACUUUCGAAAGAAGUGUUUUUGCCUCGAUAAUUAUCUAACAAGAGUGUCGAUGCAAAAGUAGUUUUUUUUCGUGAGAAAAUACCAGAUUAAAAAAAGUAACGUAGACGUCAGUUUAAGCUUAUAGGGCAAUUGAUGUGGGCCCACCCUCAUAUUUUCCACGUCAAUAGUCAAGAUGACAUCAUUAAUUAUUUAACUCUACACCAUACUUACUUGUAUGGAAUAUUUGUAUUAAAUAUACUCUUAUAGUAUCAUUUACUAAUGAAUAAUUUCUAAUAUAUGAUGUCAUUUAUAAAAUUUCAAAUAAAAGUAUUCCAAAGUAGAGGGCUAGAAUCAAAGGGUAGGGGUUGGGGUACAAAAAUAAAUAAAUAUAUGAUGUCAUUUAUAAAAUUUGUCUUCGCUAUUUUCAUUAAGGAAAUUGUUUUUCCUCAUUUUUAAGUGACUUAAUUUCCUGUUUCUUUUCAAGUCUUUGUUUUUUCGUUAAGUGAUAUGUUAGGCCCAAUUAAGCACUAAAAUGAGCUGUUAAAAGCAGUAGUGCAUAAAGCAAAAGUAAUGAAUCAUAUUUCUUAGUUGGUAGGUGUUGUCUUUUAUUGUUUUGUUUAUUUAUUUUGGUGGGCUGUACACUUAGGCAACCCACAUGAUUUUGUAUAUAUUUGCUCUUAGUUUAAUAAAAAUCCUGACCCAUCUGGUCUUUGAUUUAAAAAAAAAAGAAAAAGUAAUGAAUCAUAAAGCUAAAAAUACUUUUCUUUAUUGCCUCAAUUAUUUUCGAAUCUUUGUUUUUUCAGUCAAGAAAAGAGAAUUGUUUUGCUUCUUUCUUGUAGACAAAAGAGAGAAAUCAGUGAUCAUCUUGUUUGGGAAUUACUCUUAGCAUUCAACAGGUACAUAAAGAAGUUGUUAGUAAUUAAUGAUAGAAAAAUAUUUAUCUUAAAAAAUCAUUUUGUUUUGAAUUUGCAGAUUUCAGAAAUGGAGGUUGUCUUGGCAGUUGGUGGUGUAUUUCUCUCUUCAGCUUUGGAUGUUCUCAUUGAUAGGCUUGCUCCUCAGGGCGAUCUUCUCAAAAUGUUUCGGAAGCGUAAGAAUGAUGUUGAGCUCUUAAAGAAGCUGAAAUUGACUUUGCUUGGUCUUCAAGCUGUGCUAAGUGAUGCAGAGAAUAAGCAAGCAUCAAAUCAAUUUGUGAGAGAGUGGCUUAAUGAGCUUCGAGUUGCUGUAGACUCUGCUGAAAACUUGAUUGAACAAGUCAAUUAUGAAGCUUUGAAGCUUAAGGUGGAAGGUAAGCAUCAAAAUCUUGCAGAAAAAAUAUUGAAGCAUUGUAGAUUUUGCAGCCUGUGCUUGGGUGAUCAUUCUUUUCUUAACAUAAAUGAAAAGUUGGAAAAGACUAUUGAAACAUUGGAGAAUUUGCAAAAUCAAAUUAGUGACCUUGGCUUACAGAAACAUUUUGGUUCGACUAAACAAGAAACUAGAACUUCAACUUGUUUGGUUGAUGAAUCUGAUAUCUUUGGUUUACACAAGGAAAAAAAGGAUAUGAUUGACCGUUUAUUGUCUGAAGAUGCAAGUGGAGGAAACCUGACUGUAGUUCCUAUUGUUGGAAUGGGCGGCACGGGUAAGACAACACUAGCUAAAGUUGUUUACAAUGAUGAGAAGGUGAAGAACCAUUUUGGUUUGAAAGCUUGGUAUUGUGUUUCUGAGCCAUAUGAUGCUUUGAGAAUAACGAAAGGGUUACUUCAAGGAAUUGGCUCAUUUGACUCGAAGGAUGACGGCAAUGUUAAUCAGCUACAGGUCAAAUUGAAGGAAAGCCUGAAGGGAAAGAAGUUUCUUGUUGUCCUUGAUGAUGUGUGGAAUGAUACCUAUAGUGAGUGGGAUAACCUGAGAAAUGUUUUUGUACAAGGAGUUAUGGGAAGUAAGAUCAUUGUAACAACACGUAAGGAGAGUGUUGCUCAGAUGAUGUGUGCUGAUCGUUGCGCAAUCACCAUGGGGACUCUGUCUAGUGAAGACUCUUGGGCUUUAUUCAAACGACAUUCACUAGAAAAUAGGGAUCAUCCAGAACUUGAAGAGGUUGGGAAAAAAAUUGCAGAUAAGUGCAAAGGGUUGCCUUUAGCUCUAAAGGCACUUGCUGGUGUUUUACGCGGCAAAUCAGAGGUAGAUGAGUGGAGAAACAUUUUAAGAAGUGAAAUAUGGGACCAGCGUUGUUGGAAUGGUAUAUUACCAGCAUUGAUGUUGAGCUACAAUGAUCUUCCUGCACAUUUGAAGCGAUGCUUUGCUUUUUGUGCAAUAUAUCCCAAAGAUUAUCAAUUCUGCAAAGACAAACUUAUUUACCUGUGGAUUGCUAAUGGUCUUGUAAAGCAGUUUUGUUCAGGUAACAAAUACUUUGACGAGUUGAGAUCAAGAUCAUUGUUUGAGAGGGACCCAGAGUCUGAAUGGGAAUCAGAGAGAUUCUUAAUGCAUGAUCUUAUAAAUGAUUUGGCCCAAACUGCAUCUUCAAAACUUUGUAUUAGGUUGGAAGAGACCGAAGGAUCUGAUGAUAUGUUGGAACAAUGUCAGCACAUGUCCUAUUCCAUGGGACAAGAAGGUGAAUUUGAGAAAUUGAUACCACUCUCCAAAUCAGAGCAGCUGAGGACAUUGCUUCCAACCAAUAUCAGUAACUUUUCUGGGCUAAGCAAGAGGGUGCUACAUAACAUACUUCCAAGACUAACAUCCUUAAGGGCAUUAUCAUUGUCAGGUUAUAGGAUUACGGAGUUGCCAAAUGACUUGUUUAUCAAAUUAAAGCUCCUCAGAUUUUUGGACCUUUCUGAGACACAGAUUGAAAAGUUGCCAGAUUCCAUUUGUGUCUUGUAUAACUUGGAAACCCUUCUCCUGUCAUCUUGUGAAAAUCUUGAGGAGCUACCGCUGAAGAUGGAGAAGUUGAUCAACUUGCGUCACCUCGACAUAAGCAACACUUCUCGCUUGAAGAUGCUGCUACAUCUGAGCAUGUUGAAAAACCUCCAAGUCCUACUGGGAGCCAAGUUUCUUAUAGGUGGUAGCGGUGGUUUGAGAAUGGAAGAUUUGGGUGAAGUACAUAACUUGUAUGGAUCUCUAUCAGUUUUAGAGUUGCAAACUGUAGUUGAUAGAAGGGAAGCUCUGAAGGCAAAUAUAAAGGAAAAGGAACAUGUUGACAAGUUAUCAUUGGAGUGUAGUGAAGGUAGUUUUGCUUACGAUUCUCAAACUGAAAGAGAGAUACUUGAGGAGCUACGCCCAUACACAAACAUAAAAAAUGUCGAAAUCACCGGAUAUAGAGGGACCAAAUUUUCAAAUUGGCUGGCUGAUCCUUCGUUUCUUCAGCUAGUAGAAUUGUAUCUUAGCAACUGCAAGGACUGUGAUUCUUUGCCAGCACUAGGACAGCUUCCUUCUUUGAAAUUCCUUGACAUUAGAGGGAUGCAUGGAAUAACAGAGGUGACGGAAGAGUUCUAUGGAAGUUCAUCCUCCAAAAAGCCUUUUAACGCUCUUGAGAAGCUUGAAUUUGAAGAUAUGCCGGAGUGGAAGCAAUGGCACGUACUAGGAAGUGGGGAGUUCCCUAUACUUGAGUACCUUUCAAUUAGAAAAUGUCCAAAGUUGAUGGGGAAGUUGCCUGAAAAUCUAUGUUGUCUGAUAGAAUUGAGAAUUUCAGAGACACCUCUUUUUGAUGAAGCUCAACUGCUUAGAUCCCAAUUUGAGGGAAUGAAGCAGAUUGCUGAAUUAGAUAUCAAAAUUUGUAACUCUCUUACCUCCUUACCUUUUAGCAUAUUGCCCAGUUCCUUGAAGAGAAUAGCGAUAUCUCAUUGUCAGAGAUUGAAAUUGGAGGAGCCAGUUGGUUAUUGUAACAUGUUUCUGCGGAGCUUGCAACUGUAUAAUUGUGAUUGUAUAGAUGAUAUAUCACCUGAGUUGCUCCCAAGAGCACGUUCUUUGAAGGUACAUGCUUGCUAUAACCUUGCUAGGUUUUUGAUUCCUACUGCAACUGAAAGUCUCACUAUUCGGGAUUGUGAGAAUCUUGAAAUACUUUCAGUGGCAGUUGGAACCCAUGAGUCUGCCAUGACGUCUUUGCAUAUUUGGGAUUGUGAGAAGCUCAAGUGUCUGCCAGAAAUAGAUCUCUUCAAUUUACAAGUCCUUAAGAUCUAUAAUUGCAAGAAACUAGUGAACGGCCGAAAGGAGUGGUGUUUACAGAGACUCCCCUGUCUCACAGAGUUAGAGAUCAGACAUGAUGGCAGUGACGAAGAGAUCCAACAUUGGGAAUUGCCUUCCUCUAUUCAAACACUUAGAAUAGAGAAUCUGAAAACAUUAAGCAGCCAAGUUCUCAAAAGCCUCACCUCUCUUAAAUAUCUAUCUAUUGAUUGGCUUCCCUCCUCUCUUUCUCAGCUACAUUUAUGUUACUAUGAUGAGCUCCAUUCACUACAUCUUUGCCACCUCACUUCUCUUCUAAGUCUACAUUUAAAUUGUCGUAAUCUCCAAUCACUCUCUGAAUCAACACUGCCCUCCUCCCUCUCUCAGCUGACCAUCUCUCAUUGCCCUAAUCUCCAAUCACUCUCUGAAUCGCAUAUAGGUGUGUCUGCUCCUGAUUAAGAUAAGGUGUUAUAUCUUUAUGAAUAUUAAAUUAUCUUCCAAAUUCUUUUUUUUUUUUGGGGGGGGGGGGGGUGGGGGGGAUCAACCGCAUAUGGCAAUUUAGAUCUCUAAAAUCCGCACCAAUUAAGAAGGGAAAAUCGUUGAAUCUUUUAAUUUGCUUGUAUUGUUCGCUUUGUGCUAGGCGCACACAAUUUUAAAAUAUUAUUUAAGAGUGAAAAUUAUUUUCGCUUUUCAACUUUGCUGUAAAAAUUAAACUCCAUUUCAAUUUUAAUAAUCGAACUCCUCCCUUUAUUCUAAUUAAUUUUUUAAAAAUACCUAUUAUACCCUUUCAUUAUCUUGUGACAAAUCUCACUCUUCAUCUUAGCUGGCUAUUACAACUCACUUUUCUUGUCUAUUAACAUAUGUUCUCUCUCAAAUCUUGUAGACUGAAAUAUCUCCACCAUAGAAGUCGAUGGAGAAUACAUUUAAUGAUUAAAGCGAAUGGUGCUCUCAACAAUGUAAGUUUUUCUUUGUCCUCAGAAGCUUUCUAUUUUUGUUUUGUUCCCUUUGCUUUCCCUUUUUUAAGAUCUUGUUGAGCAGUAUGGAGUGUCUAUUACCACUAUGAAGCCAAAAAAUCAUCUUUAGUUCGAGAUAAAUUUAAUUUUCGAUAACCACAAUAAACAAAGGUGAGAAAAUCUUUAUAUUCGUGUGGGAACACUGUAAAACGAAAUCUAGUAUAUAUUCGUGUGGGAACACUGUAAAACGAAAUCUAGUUUAUGCUUUGAACUGUUUAUACAUAAAUCUGUGUGAUCAUUAGAAUGAUGUAUAUCUUUGAUAUUAAUGACGUUUAAUAUUCUUUUCAGAAUAUAAAUUAUGUUGUGCUUAUCAUCAGACUUACUGCAAAUGGGACGUACAGCUCUGAUGGAACCCAAAGGUACGUGAUAAAAAAGUUGUUUAAAUAACACACGAGAGAUAUUGACAUUAUGGUCAUAGAUUAUAAGGAAAGAUAUUACUUUUUCAUUGUUAGGAUUUUGACAAGGCUCGGUGCUCAUUUGGGAAGUGAAAAGUUUCGAAGGUCUCUCUGUUCAAGUCAAGAAGUGAAAGCUAUUGAACUAUGUAUGUAAUAGCUUGUAUUGUUUACUUUGGGUCCUAUGCUCCUUCGACUUUAAAAUGCCUCAUUUGGGUCUAAUGUCACUUCUUUUUAUUCCAACAAUCAAUAUCGUUCUUGUGUUUUGUUUGAUGUGGUAUAUGCCCUAGGAUGCUACAAUGUUGUUCUUUUUACUCUAGAUACCAAGACGGAAAGCAAGAGACGACACAAUUAUUGAACUUUCUGUAUUGAGAAAUCUGAAUUUCUGGACGCAAAUGGUUAGAGAAAACUGUAAAUGCAAUGUAAAAUGCAUAAGAAUCAGGGGAGAUUUUGAGGAGUGAGAUUUGUUUGUGUAAUUUUGUAAUGUUGUUAUUACUAAUUAAAUGAUAUGUGUGUAUUUCAGUUCAUACUGCUUAAAAUUUCUUCAUUUGAGGAUGU